ACGGGAGACACACGGCGGGUGCUAACGUCCGUCGUGAAGAGGGAAACAACCCAGACCGCCAGCUAAGGUCCCAAAGUCAUGGUUAAGUGGGAAACGAUGUGGGAAGGCCCAGACAGCCAGGAUGUUGGCUUAGAAGCAGCCAUCAUUUAAAGAAAGCGUAAUAGCUCACUGGUCGAGUCGGCCUGCGCGGAAGAUGUAACGGGGCUAAACCAUGCACCGAAGCUGCGGCAGCGACGCUUAUGCGUUGUUGGGUAGGGGAGCGUUCUGUAAGCCUGUGAAGGUGUACUGUGAGGUAUGCUGGAGGUAUCAGAAGUGCGAAUGCUGACAUAAGUAACGAUAAAGCGGGUGAAAAGCCCGCUCGCCGGAAGACCAAGGGUUCCUGUCCAACGUUAAUCGGGGCAGGGUGAGUCGACCCCUAAGGCGAGGCCGAAAGGCGUAGUCGAUGGGAAACAGGUUAAUAUUCCUGUACUUGGUGUUACUGCGAAGGGGGGACGGAGAAGGCUAUGUUGGCCGGGCGACGGUUGUCCCGGUUUAAGCGUGUAGGCUGGUUUUCCAGGCAAAUCCGGAAAAUCAAGGCUGAGGCGUGAUGACGAGGCACUACGGUGCUGAAGCAACAAAUGCCCUGCUUCCAGGAAAAGCCUCUAAGCAUCAGGUAACAUCAAAUCGUACCCCAAACCGACACAGGUGGUCAGGUAGAGAAUACCAAGGCGCUUGAGAGAACUCGGGUGAAGGAACUAGGCAAAAUGGUGCCGUAACUUCGGGAGAAGGCACGCUGAUAUGUAGGUGAAGCGACUUGCUCGUGGAGCUGAAAUCAGUCGAAGAUACCAGCUGGCUGCAACUGUUUAUUAAAAACACAGCACUGUGCAAACACGAAAGUGGACGUAUACGGUGUGACGCCUGCCCGGUGCCGGAAGGUUAAUUGAUGGGGUUAGCGCAAGCGAAGCUCUUGAUCGAAGCCCCGGUAAACGGCGGCCGUAACUAUAACGGUCCUAAGGUAGCGAAAUUCCUUGUCGGGUAAGUUCCGACCUGCACGAAUGGCGUAAUGAUGGCCAGGCUGUCUCCACCCGAGACUCAGUGAAAUUGAACUCGCUGUGAAGAUGCAGUGUACCCGCGGCAAGACGGAAAGACCCCGUGAACCUUUACUAUAGCUUGACACUGAACAUUGAGCCUUGAUGUGUAGGAUAGGUGGGAGGCUUUGAAGUGUGGACGCCAGUCUGCAUGGAGCCGACCUUGAAAUACCACCCUUUAAUGUUUGAUGUUCUAACGUGGACCCGUAAUCCGGGUUGCGGACAGUGUCUGGUGGGUAGUUUGACUGGGGCGGUCUCCUCCUAAAGAGUAACGGAGGAGCACGAAGGUUGGCUAAUCCUGGUCGGACAUCAGGAGGUUAGUGCAAUGGCAUAAGCCAGCUUGACUGCGAGCGUGACGGCGCGAGCAGGUGCGAAAGCAGGUCAUAGUGAUCCGGUGGUUCUGAAUGGAAGGGCCAUCGCUCAACGGAUAAAAGGUACUCCGGGGAUAACAGGCUGAUACCGCCCAAGAGUUCAUAUCGACGGCGGUGUUUGGCACCUCGAUGUCGGCUCAUCACAUCCUGGGGCUGAAGUAGGUCCCAAGGGUAUGGCUGUUCGCCAUUUAAAGUGGUACGCGAGCUGGGUUUAGAACGUCGUGAGACAGUUCGGUCCCUA
rnacentral:rRNA from 1 species